UCUGAGGGAAGGUGAGUGUUGCCAGCCAGGUCAUGCCUUAUCCGAAGCGAAGUGAAGACGCUCAGGUGUUUCCCUGUGAAGUUCCGAAGUGAGACUGUUUGGGAUAGAGGAGCAGAGUGGCAGGGGGUUGCUUGCAAGCACAGUGGUCGUUUUGUCCUUUUGUGUUCCCAGGUGUUGUGGAUGAUGGUGGCCGCUCCUUUCAAGCUUGGACCUAAUUUGCAGGUCCAGAGGCAAGUGGAGUGCUGUUUUGAAAGGGUUGAAAUGCAGCGUGCAGUGCGCGGUGCAGGACGUCUCGACCCGAGCUGCCUCUGCAGUGACUCUGGUGCGUGAUGAGCAGAGGUAACUGUUGGUUUUGGGGUGUGGUUGUCACUGCAGUUAUUUUCCUAUGUCCAAUAGAGUAAAACUCCAGUUUGCCUUUUAGAGGUGCUAUAAGUGGGUAAGGAGAAGAGAUGGAAGCAUGUGCCACGUGGGGCAGGCAAGCGGCUGAGGUACAGGAGGGGAUGAGAGUAUGUGAUUUUUUUCUGGGGAUGGAAUGGAAUUGAUUUUGUUGGUGUAUAAUCUGUUCUGCUCCUGGAUUUUUCUUUCUAAGUUUAAAAAUAAGAAUAAAAUUUGAGCUAAUUCCAGUUAAGAAAGUUCCAGUUACUUGCUGGGUCGUAUUGUCCUUUUAAUAUUCAAAGCUGCCGCAAAAGCAUGGGGAUUGUUGCUUUUAGAAACACCUCAGGUCUCGUCUGCACUCUGCAUUCUGUUGAGCUAAAGCAGAUCCCCCCCAAAAAAAACAAACAGGCAAACAAAAAAAAAACCAAACACACACACACAAAUGAACAACGAAAUAAAACACCAUUGGUUGACUUGUUGUGAAUGCAACGAACAUUUAAUCCCUUUGUUUUCCCAGGUGGUGUGGAUGAUACUGGCUGCACUAUUGGAGCUUGGUCUCGGAGAGGAACAGGCGAGCACAAUCCUGAUGCUGAGCCUUCAAUUGACUAAGAUGACAAUCAGUGCCUGUGCCUUUCCUGAGGCGGAGGGACUUUACCAUGCAGCAACCUUAGAGCUAAGUUGGGGGGCACCUGGUAUUUGCAUAUUUGGAGUGGCUAAUGGGAGCUGCGAGCCAGAGCAGCAUGGAGCCAGCUGGCUGAAUAGACUUGGUGCCACUGUGAGGGUGGUUCAGGCUGGGUCGUCACGUUCAGGCUGGUUGUGGCUGGGUCACCAGGCUAACAGAAGCAGCGGGAUUAUUUUGUAGCGUGCGUGCGCCAGGCAGGACAGUUUCCUUCUGUUCGUCUGUCUUGUAGUGUUGCUUCUGCAGUGUCUGUUCUGUGCUUCUCGGGUCUUUAUAUCCUCCUGGCUUUUUAGAUUGGACUGACUAGACAGGCGACUUGGUAGCUGUGCUGAAGGGCCUCAAUGCUUGUUUUGUCAUCAUGGCUCUGAUCCGAGCACUUCUUGUCUUGCAGUCGCUGCUUAAAGAGCAGGCCUGUUUCAGGUCUUGUGCGUCAUAUUCGGUUUGAGAUCGCAUCUGUUUCCAUCCUCACUCUUGCAGAAGUCAUCUGGGCCGCAUCAGGAGCUCUUGCUUGGGAAUUGAAUUCCUAAGUGUCCUCUUAAGGGGUUUUCACUCCCCAUCCUUCUGGUCUCUUGUCUUGAAGGCAGGCUUUUUAGGCCUCCAUCAUCCCAGUUCUGGCAGUUGCUUCCAGUCGCGUGUCGUGACAUUUGAGUCUCUCGUAGGGUCUGGUGCAGAGCACCUGUUCUGACUUGCUGUUGCCGUAGGGUUUUCCUCUGGGGGUCACUUUUUCUUGCGCCUUGUGUUGUGUGUUUUGUUUGUAGUGUUUGUGGCGUGCCUGUGCGUGUAUGUGUUUGGUCUGGAGCUGUCCUGCCUGGCAGUUAGUGAUUAAUGUGGCAGUGCAUGGGUGUACUAAUACAUUGAUGGGACUGUGUUGGCGAAGACAUCCUGUCUGCCUCUGGGCUCGUACUGAAGGGCAGCUGGCACAGUCAUUUCUGGUGGUUGGCAGAUGUGGAUUUGGGAGAGUAUAUCUGCUUGUGAGCAGCUGUUUGCAUAGUGCUUGAACGGUGUGCUUGAGGAGGUCUGUCGAAUCUUGAAUGCUUACAGAUAUGGGGUUUUGAAACUUUUAUUUUUAUUUCUAUUCUGUCCCCAGUAGAGUGUAAACCUUUGGAGGAACCUGUCACAGGAAAGAGCUCCUUCUGGAACUGUUCAGCACUCGGUAGGCAACUCGGUGACUGGCUUGAUCUAC
rnacentral:lncRNA from 1 species